UACGUAGGGGGCAAGCGUUGUCCGGAAUCAUUGGGCGUAAAGCGCGUGUAGGCGGCUGAGUAAGUCUGCUCUGAAAGCCCGGGGCUCAACCCCGGGACGGCGGGUGGAUACUGCUCAGCUCGAGUCCGGAAGAGGAGUGUGGAAUUCCUGGUGUAGCGGUGAAAUGCGCAGAUAUCAGGAGGAACACCAGUGGCGAAGGC
rnacentral:rRNA from 1 species